AUUUGAUUAGAGUUUGGUUAAGAUUUGUUUAGGAUUUGAUUAGGAUUUGGUUAGGAUUUAACUAGGAUUUAUUUUGAAUUUGAUUAAGAAUUUUUUAAGAUUUUAUUAAGAAUUUUUUAAGAUUUAAUUAAGAUUUAUUUAGGAUUUAUUUAGAAUUUAUUUAAGAUUUAUUUAGGAUUUGUUUAGAAUUUGGUUAGGAUUUUUUUAGGAUUUGAUUAGAAUUUGAUUAAGGUUUAUUUAGGAUUUGAUGAGGAUUUGAUUAGGAUUUGUUUAAAAUUUGAUUAAGAUUUAUUUAUAAUUUUUUUAGGAUUUAUUAAAGAUUUAUUUAGGAUUUGAUUAGGAUUUAUUUAAGAUUUAAUUAAGAUUUAUUUAGGAUUUAUUUAGGAUUUAUUUAGGAUUUGUUUAGAAUUUGAUUAGAAUUUGUUUAGGAUUUGAUUAGAAUUUUUUUAAGGUUAGUUAAGGAUUUGAUGAGGAUUUGGUUAGGAUUUGUUAGGAUUUGACUAGGAUUUAUUUAGGAUUUGAUUAGGAUUUGACUAGGAUUUAAUUCAGGUUUUUAUUUUAAUAUUUUAUUAAAGUUUUAUUUUAGUAUAUUUUUAAAUUUCUAUAUUAUUUCUUUAUGAUUCUUUAAAAAUUCUGUCAAAAUACUUUGUAUUUUUUACAUAAUUCUUUUGUAAUUUUGAUUGAAUUCGAUUGAUGUUUGAUUGUACUUGCUAAUCUUUAAUUAUAAUUUGUUUAAGAAUCUAUUAGAGUUAAUAAGACUUGUUAUUGCAAUUUUCCUUUUAUCUUCUACAACUAAGUGCCUAGUAUAUUUUCAAGUCAAAUGCCACGUAAUACGAUAUAUAUUUGGUGAACUCAAUGUAAAAAGCUUGAGGUAGAAGGUAUUUGGAAGCUUUUCUUGAUUUAUUCGAGUUAUGGAAAAGAAAGGCAAGAGGAUGGAAGGAGGAGUUUUU
rnacentral:lncRNA from 1 species